rnacentral:rRNA from 1 species
CGUAACGCGUAUGCAAUCUACCUUUAACCGGUGAAUAGCCCGAAGAAAUUCGGAUUAACACACCAUAGUAUUGUUUGUUGGCAUCAACAGACAAUUAAAACUCCGGUGGUUAAAGAUGAGCAUGCGUGACAUUAGCUAGUUGGUGAGGUAAUGGCUCACCAAGGCUACGAUGUCUAGGGGAUCUGAGAGGAUUAACCCCCACACUGGUACUGAGACACGGACCAG